GGAGUUAGGAAAUGUAAGUGCGAUAAUACCGUGCUUAUUUGACAAAGGCUCCAAAGGAAGCCACGGCUAACUCUGUGCCAGCAGCCGCGGUAAUACAGAGGUGGCAAGCGUUGUUCGGAAUUACUGGGCGUAAAGAGCACGUAGGUGGAUUUGUAAGUCAGGUGUGAAAGCCUUCUGUUCAACGGAAGAAUUGCAUCUGAAACUACAAACCUUGAGUGUAGGAGGGGAGAGUGGAACUUCUGGU
rnacentral:rRNA from 1 species